rnacentral:rRNA from 1 species
CCUACGGGUGGCAGCAGUGAGGAAUAUUGGUCAAUGGGCGCGAGCCUGAACCAGCCAAGUAGCGUGAAGGAUGACUGCCCUACGGGUUGUAAACUUCUUUUAUAAGGGAGUAAAGUGAGGCACGUGUGCCUUUUUGUAUGUACCUUAUGAAUAAGGAUCGGCUAACUCCGUGCCAGCAGCCGCGGUAAUACGGAGGAUCCGAGCGUUAUCCGGAUUUAUUGGGUUUAAAGGGAGCGUAGGUGGGAUGUUAAGUCAGUUGUGAAAUUUUGCGGCUCAACCGUAAAAUUGCAUUUGAUACUGGUAGGCUUGAGUACAGUUGAGGUAGGCGGAAUUCGUGGUGUAGCGGUGAAAUGCUUAGAUAUAACGAAGAACUCCGAUUGCGAAGGCAGCUUACUAAGCUGCCACUGACGUUGAUGCACGAAAGUGUGGGGAUCAAACAGGAUUAGAUACCCCUGUAGUC